rnacentral:lncRNA from 1 species
UUUCACCACCAUUACUACUUUCGCACUUUCACGUGGAUGCCACAAUUAAUUCGGAUUAAAGUUUGAGGAUGGGUGUAUUGGAACUGCUGUCAGAAUGUGUGGACACCCAGCCAGGAUUGAUUGGACUUUUCCUCAUUGUUCAUGGAUAAGGGUGCUGGUUUGAAGAACAAGUUGCCUGCAGACUGUGCUAAACCUGAUGCCUUUUUAGACAGAGCUCGUAACCGUGUCCACCAGACAUGCUGUGUGCCUUCUCCAACUACAUACAAAAACUGGAUUGGGAUGAGGCAAACAGCCAUGGCAGCUCUCGGAGCAAAACAAUCCAACAUUUGGAGAAGACAUUGGAUAAACAACAAGAAGAUUGUGCAGAUAUAGGAUUCAACUCAGUGUAAACAAUCAUUGUAAUAUAAUAAAACUUUCACUGAGGAUGUAUUCAUCAAAUCUGGAAAAACAAUAGUUUCACAAGAACAAAACAUUCCUGUAUGAUGGGUUUAAUGGUAUGAUAGUGGUAAUGCAAGAACAGAACUUUCACACAUGAUGGAUUCAACUCAGAAAAAGAAUAGUAAAGCACAAACAGAAGUUUCACAAAUAAACGGGUUCAACUCUAGAAAAACGGGAAAGUGAAAACAGAACUUUUAAGAGUUCAAGGAUCAACACUUGAAAACAGUAUUAAAGCAAAAGGAAAACAAAACAGAUCAAGGAUUCACUACCAGAAAAAAUUACGAUAUAAGCAAGAACGGCCACACACAAAGUAUUCAUCUCGGGGGAAAAACAGUGGUUGUACAAAUACCAGCUUUUGCUGAUUGAGUUUCAUAAAAAAGAACUGUGCAAGAACCAGCGAUUGUGCCUUCUCUAUAAAGUACCCUUAAAAGGAGCCUUUUCCAAAUUCUAAAAGCAGCAAGUUUUUUCCCAAGCAAAAAAAGACAAAGAAAACUUGUCAAAUUGUCUAGUGGUUUGGUAUUGACUUGUACAUGCAACAGAAAUUUUAAGUUUGCAGAUAUUAAUGAUUGCUUGCAAUUUUAUAUUCAGUAUGAACAGGCCUAUGCCGCAAUUCUUCCCAGUUCAGCUGGUACCAGACCUCUUCCAAAAGUGGCAAAAAAUUGCAUACAACAAACAUAUUUUCAGACAGAUGACGGUAUUGAUUGUAUAUGCUGUGUUAUUCGUUGUCAGAAAAAAAGAUAGAAGACAUUAGCAUUACCAGUUAUUAGCAAGAAGCAGAUAUAUAUAAAUGAAGAACAGAAAGAACUCUAAAAUGCAUUGAAGAAUUCAUUUUGUCUUGAUAUACUGAACAUGGGUUUAAAGUGGAACAUGCAAGAAACACAAGGGGAAUUGGAAUGUCGGAGUAAUUGUAGAUUCAUUGUUAUGUGAUGAACAGAUUCUUGAUGAAGUGGGACAGCAAGUUUGACAUUUUGGUUUACUGUGUUUUUCUAAAGUUUGCGUGAAAGUAACUUCAUUUGGUUUGGAAAUACAAAGAAACAAGUAAGUGUUAAAAGAUACCAUUGGAGACACACCUUUAAGUUUAAGCUUAAGAGGUAAGUUUGUAGAUAUAUAGUUAGUUGUCAAAUUAUCUUUCAAGAAGAGAACACCAGAUGUAAUGUUUUCACAAGCAGCAAGAUAAAAGUGACAAGUACAAACUAGUGUUUCCAGUUGAAAGAUAAGUUGAGAAGAAAUGGCAAGAAUAUGUACAGGCCUUUCCAUGACGUUUGUGAAUACCUGUACUGGUGACCUUAUAAUUAUUGCAUCAUAAGUAGUUUGAAUUACUGGAAACUCUUUUAUUUUGUUUUGUUCAUGCAGAAACUUAGAAACUAGUAGAAAUUCAUUUAAGUAUAUUAAUAUCUAAGACAAACCAGUUUCUACCAUAUCUUAAAAUAAAUGUCUGGUCAUGACAGCUGAAAUUCCAGAACAUCCUUCAGGUGUUUUGUUGCAAAUGGUAUGUGAUGGAACCAAAAAUGCUUGGUUGAAUUAUUUUUUUGUAAAAACUUUGGAGUAUUUAUAGGUAUGAUAUCAAGUGAUGGAUUUGCACAAGGCCAUACAUUAAUAGUUCUUAAGAAAAUUUUCAAAAAAGGAUAUAGCGAGCGAAAUUUCUAUUUUAUUUUUUUUCUCAAUUUUGGUUUUUUCAGGGGCGGGUAGACUUUACAUGGAGCGAGUGUUUUUUUUUUAAAAAAAAAUCCCAGCUCGGACCCUUGAGAAGGCGGUUAUGGUUAUACAUGAAGUUUACAUUUCUUUUGAAAUAACAGAGAAAUUAAUCAUUUACAGUGUGACUAACACAGUUUAUAGCUUCUCUGUAUGUUUUAAAGACUACAUGAAUGAAUUUGCAAAUAAAUUCUUGCCACAACUCACAGAAUCACUUUUUAUUUUGCGUUUAUAAUGACUUAAGAGAUUAGUGUCUUAUUUUUAAUUUUGAUUUUUCUACAUAAAUCAUUUCAGUCAAAAAUGAUGAUAAUCGGACAAAGAGUGA